UGGGGAAUUUUGGACAAUGGGCGAAAGCCUGAUCCAGCAAUGCCGCGUGUGUGAAGAAGGCCUUCGGGUUGUAAAGCACUUUUGUCCGGAAAGAAAUCCUUGGCUCUAAUACAGUCGGGGGAUGACGGUACCGGAAGAAUAAGCACCGGCUAACUACGUGCCAGCAGCCGCGGUAAUACGUAGGGUGCAAGCGUUAAUCGGAAUUACUGGGCGUAAAGCGUGCGCAGGCGGUUUGCUAAGACCGAUGUGAAAUCCCCGGGCUCAACCUGGGAACUGCAUUGGUGACUGGCAGGCUAGAGUAUGGCAGAGGGGGGUAGAAUUCCACGUGUAGCAGUGAAAUGCGUAGAGAUGUGGAGGAAUACCGAUGGCGAAGGCAGCCCCCUGGGCCAAUACUGACGCUCAUGCACGAAAGCGUGGGGAGCAAACAGGAUUAGAUACCCUGGUAGUCCACGCCCUAAAACGAUGUCAACUAGUUGUUGGGGAUUCAUUUCCUUAGUAACGUGGCUAACGCGUGAAGUUGACCGCCUGGGGAGUACGGUCGCAAGAUUAAAACUUAAAUGAAUUGACGGGGUCAUAGCUGUUUCCU
rnacentral:rRNA from 1 species